rnacentral:rRNA from 1 species
GUGUCAGCCGCCGCGGUAAAACGUAGGAGGCGAGCGUUAUCCGGAUUUACUGGGCGUAAAGCGCACGCAGGUGGCUUGGUCAGUCGCAUGUGAAAGCGCCUGGCUUAACUGGGCGAGGUCGUGCGAUACUGCCAGGCUUGAGGUUGGGAGAGGGGUGCGGAAUUCCCGGUGUAGUGGUGGAAUGCGUAGAGAUCGGGAGGAACACCUGUGGCGAAGGCGGCACCCUGGCCCACACCUGACGCUGAGGUGCGAAAGCGUGGGGAGCAAACAGGAUUAGAAACCCCGGUAGUCC